GUACACUCCUGCGGGAGGCAGCAGUGGGGAAUAUUGCACAAUGGGCGCAAGCCUGAUGCAGCCAUGCCGCGUGUAUGAAGAAGGCCUUCGGGUUGUAAAGUACUUUCAGCGGGGAGGAAGGCGAUAAGGUUAAUAACCUUGUUGAUUGACGUUACCCGCAGAAGAAGCACCGGCUAACUCCGUGCCAGCAGCCGCGGUAAUACGGAGGGUGCAAGCGUUAAUCGGAAUUACUGGGCGUAAAGCGCACGCAGGCGGUCUGUCAAGUCGGAUGUGAAAUCCCCGGGCUCAACCUGGGAACUGCAUUCGAAACUGGCAGGCUAGAGUCUUGUAGAGGGGGGUAGAAUUCCAGGUGUAGCGGUGAAAUGCGUAGAGAUCUGGAGGAAUACCGGUGGCGAAGGCGGCCCCCUGGACAAAGACUGACGCUCAGGUGCGAAAGCGUGGGGAGCAAACAGGAUUAGAAACCCCUGUAGUCCCAUGAU
rnacentral:rRNA from 1 species